rnacentral:lncRNA from 1 species
UCUGGACAGCAACAAUGACCCCAGUCACUCCCACCCCAAAGCCAGGGAAACAUCAUCUUGUCACCUCUGGAUUUCUCCUCACCCCCUUGGGUUAAAGCUGAGCAGACAGGGUGGCACUUCUGAAUUCAGAGGCUGCAAUGAGCUGAGAAAAACAAGCAUCUGUGGCCCCCUCCAGGACCCACCAAGUAGAGGGGAUGUUGCCCCGGGUGCUGCAGGAGGGAAACUGAGGCCCAGAAAGGGAUGUGAUCUGCCCGAUUGUGCAGAAUUCAGAGCCCAGCUGGAACCUGAAUGUCCUGACCCCCCAUCCAGUGCCCCCCUUCCUACUCUAUGCUGCCUCUCGGGUGACACACACAGCAGCAAGUGAGCCCUGCAGACAGAGACAUUCUAGAACCCAGGCCUGGGACCAGUGCUCAGGAGCCAUACUCUCAGCUAGAUUGCCUUCAGCCUGCCAGGAGGAGGAGCAGCCCAGUCCAGACUGAAAGCCUCCAAGGAGGAAGUUCUACCGGCUUCUCCAUGCCUCCAAACCCACUGUACCUUGUGCAUUCCAUCUGGAAUUUUCUUCUGUUGAAAGGAAGGUGCUGGGUGGGAGGAGGAGGGAGAGGAUCAGGAAAAAUAACUAAUAAAUACUAGGCUUAAUAUCUG